UUCCGGUUGAUCCUGCCGGAUCAAUUGCUAUCGCAGUUCCGAUAUAGGAUGCUAGUCGCACGUUUUCAGACUGGUGUGAAAAGCUCAGUGACACGUGGCCAAACUACCCUGUGUAUCGGGACAACCUCGGCAAACUGAGGCUAAUCCCGAAUAGGGCUCACAGCCUGAAGUGGCGGGAGUCCGAAACGCUCCAGCGCCACUGGAUGUGGCUGCGGCCGAUUAGGUUGACGGUGGGGUAACGGCCCACCGUGCCCAUAAUCGGUACGGGUUGUGAGAGCAAGAGCUCGGAGACGGUAUCUGAGACAAGAUACCGGGCCCUACGGUGCGCAGGAGGUGUGAAACCUUUACACUGCAGAGAUAUCUGAAGGGGAUACCGGUGCUAGGGCUCUCAGCCGUCGCUUUUCUGUACUGUUGGGGGUCAAAGAAUAAGGGCUAGCCAAAGACCGAUGCCAUCUGCCGCGCUAAUACCGGCGAGCGCAAGUGAUGUCAGAUUUUAUUGG
rnacentral:rRNA from 1 species